rnacentral:pre_miRNA from 1 species
GGGGUGCAGGAUCCUGGGCUGUGUCCCCCAGCGCCCUGGGAUCUGGGGCCUGCGCUGCCGGAAUCACGCUCCCGGGGCCACCACUCC